UCUCCAUUCCUAAGCAUGGAAUGUGGUGCUUUUUUCCCUUUCUAAGAGCUUCCCCUACUUUUAAGCAGGAGUCCAUCUGCUACCCUUCCACUUAAUCCUUUUCCUUUGCGUGUACGCCUGCCAAAAUUGUAUUCCCUUAUUCCCUAAUUAGCGAAAUUAUUUCAGUUUCUCAAUUAGUUGCUCCAAGUCUCACCCUCCUGACCAAUUUCCUCUUCUUCUCUUGCUUUCGUACCUCUCUCCCUAACUCACUCAAAACUAAGAAACAAUGGAGGUUGUUGGAGAGGUUGUUCUCUCUGCUGGUCUUGAAUUGUUGUUGAAAAAGCUAGUCUCCUCUGAGUUGCUCCAAUUUGCUCGCCAACAGAAAGUCUAUUCUGAACUCAAGAAAUGGGAGGACAAUUUGCUGACUGUGAAUGAAGUGCUCGAUGAUGCUGAGAUGAAGCAGAUGACGUCGCCUGCAGUGAAAAACUGGCUAUGCCAGCUCAGAGACUUGGCUUAUGAUGCAGAGGACGUACUGGAUGAGUUCGCCACCGAGCUACUGCGACACAAGUUGAUGGCAGAACGCCCUCAGACCCCCAACACUAGUAAGGUACGAAGCCUUAUCCCCACUUGCUGUACUAGUUUCAAUCCAUGCCAUGUCGUGUUUAAUGUUAAGAUGGGGUCUAAGAUUAAGGAAAUAACUAACCGCUUAGAAGAGCUUUCAACUAAAAAUUUUGGGCUUGGGCUGCGAAAAGCCACAGUUGAGCUGGGUUUGGAGAGAGUUGAUGGAGCAACUUCUACCUGGCAACGACCCCCCAGUACAUCUUUGAUUGAUGAACCUGUUCACGGCAGGGAUGAUGACAAAAAGGUUAUUAUUGAGAUGCUGUUGAAGGAUGAAGGCGGUGAAAGCUACUUUGGGGUAAUUCCCAUUGUUGGCAUAGGUGGGAUGGGGAAAACUACACUCGCCCAGUUGGUAUACAGGGAUGAUGAGAUAGUCAACCAUUUUGACCCAAAGGGGUGGGUCUGUGUAUCAGAUGAGAGUGAUAUAGUGAAAAUAACAAAUGCAAUUCUUAAUGCAUUCUCUCCUCAUCAAAUCCAUGAUUUUAAAGACUUUAACCAACUCCAGCUCACAUUGAGCAAGAUUCUGGUUGGAAAAAGGUUUUUGCUAGUUUUGGACGAUGUGUGGAACAUUAACAAUUAUGAGCAAUGGAGUCACUUACAGACCCCCUUUAAGUCGGGGGCUAGAGGAAGUAAAAUUGUAGUAACGACACGUCAUACAAAUGUUGCAUCAUUGAUGAGAGCAGACAACUACCACCACUUGCUCAAGCCUUUAUCUAAUGAUGAUUGUUGGAAUGUAUUUGUGAAACAUGCAUUUGAAAACAAAAAUAUCGAUGAACAUUUGAGAUUGCUUGAUACAAGGAUCAUAGAGAAAUGCAGUGGCUUGCCCUUAGCAGCAAAGGUGCUCGGUGGGCUUCUACGCUCCAAACCACAGAAUCAAUGGGAACAUGUACUGAGUAGCAAAAUGUGGAAUAGGAGUGGUGUUAUCCCAGUGCUAAGAUUAAGCUAUCAACAUCUCCCUUCACAUCUAAAAAGAUGUUUUGCUUACUGUGCAUUGUUUCCAAAGGACUAUGACUUUGAGCAAAAAGAGCUAAUUUUAUUAUGGAUGGCAGAGGGUUUAAUUCAUGAAGCAGAAGAAGAAAAAUGUCAAAUGGAAGAUUUAGGUGCUGAUUAUUUUGAUGAAUUAUUAUCUCGAUGUUUUUUCCAACCAUCAAGCAAUAGUAAAUCCCAAUUUAUAAUGCAUGAUUUGAUCAAUGAUCUAGCUCAAGAUGUUGCUACAGAAAUAUGCUUCAAUUUAGAGAAUAUACAUAAAACUUCUGAAAUGACUCGUCAUUUGUCAUUCAUACGUAGCGAGUAUGAUGUAUUCAAAAAAUUUGAAGUCCUUAAUAAACCGGAGCAAUUACGAACAUUUGUUGCAUUACCCGUCACUGUAAAUAAUGAGAUGAAAUGUUACUUAAGUACUAAGGUGCUUCAUGGCUUGUUGCCAAAGUUGAUACAAUUAAGGGUGCUCUCUUUGAGUGGUUAUGAAAUAAAUGAGUUGCCAAAUUCGAUUGCUGAUUUGAAACAUUUACGGUAUCUUAAUUUGUCUCAUACUAAACUCAAAUGGUUACCUGAAGCAGUGAGUAGUCUCUACAAUUUACAAUCAUUGAUAUUAUGCAAUUGUAUGGAACUCAUUAAGUUGCCUAUUUGCAUUAUGAAUUUAACCAAUCUUCGACAUCUUGAUAUUAGUGGUUCAACUAUGUUGGAAGAGAUGCCUCCACAAGUUGGAAGCUUGGUAAAUUUGCAAACAUUGUCUAAGUUUUUUCUAAGCAAAGAUAAUGGGCCACGAAUAAAAGAAUUGAAGAACUUGUUGAAUCUUCGAGGAGAGCUUGCCAUUUUAGGGUUGGAAAAUGUUUCGGAUCCAAGAGAUGCAAUGUAUGUCAAUUUGAAGGAGAUACCAAAUAUUGAAGACUUAAUUAUGGUAUGGAGUGAAGAUUCUGGUAAUUCAAGGAAUGAAAGUACUGAGAUAGAGGUCCUUAAGUGGUUGCAACCUCAUCAAAGUUUGAAAAAACUGGAAAUUGCAUUUUAUGGUGGCUCAAAAUUCCCGCAUUGGAUAGGAGAUCCAUCCUUCUCCAAAAUGGUUUGUUUGGAACUUACAAAUUGUAAAAAUUGCACAUCAUUGCCAGCACUUGGGGGUUUACCUUUCCUCAGAGACUUGGUGAUUGAAGGAAUGAAUCAAGUUAAAAGCAUAGGUGAUGGGUUCUAUGGGGAUACUGCAAACCCUUUUCGGUCUUUGGAAUCUCUAAGAUUUCGGAAUAUGGCAGAAUGGAACAAUUGGUUAAUUCCCAAAUUGGGACAUGAGGAAACUAAAACAUUGUUUCCUUGCCUUCGUGAGCUUAAAAUCAUAAGAUGUCCAAAAUUGAUCAACUUACCUCAUGAGUUACCUUCCCUUGUGACGCUUCAUGUCAGAGAAUGCCAAGAACUGGAAAUGUCAAUUCCACGACUUCCACUUCUUACUGAAUUAAUAGUAGUUGGGUCGUUAAAAAGUUGGGAUGGUGAUGUCCCCUCACUUACCCAAUUAUACAUUUGGGGAAUUUCGAGGCUGAGUUGUUUAUGGGAAAGGCUUGCACAACGCUUACUGGUCCUUGAAGAUCUGGGAAUAACUGAAUGUGAUGAGUUGGCAUGUUUGAGGAAGCCUGGAUUUGGACUGGAAAACCUUGGUGGUCUGCGACGUUUAUGGAUCGAUGGGUGUGAUGGGGUUGUAUCGUUGGAAGAGCAAGGGCUGCCUUGCAAUCUUCAAUACUUGGAAGUGAAGGGAUGCUCCAACUUAGAGAAGCUGCCAAAUGCAUUGCACACCCUCACAUCUCUUGCAUAUACGAUAAUUCAUAAUUGCCCGAAACUCGUGUCAUUCCCAGAGACAGGUUUGCCGCCCAUGCUAAGAGAUCUUAGUGUGAGAAAUUGUGAGGGUCUAGAGACACUACCUGAUGGAAUGAUGAUUGACAGUUGUGCCCUUGAGCAGGUGGUAAUUAGAGAUUGUCCAUCUCUUAUUGGCUUUCCGAAAGGGGAGCUACCUGUCACCCUUAAGAACCUGCUAAUUGAAAAUUGUGAGAAACUAGAGUCUCUACCUGAGGGAAUUGACAACAACAACACUUGUCGUCUUGAAUAUCUACGUGUAUGGGGAUGUUCAUCUCUCAAGUCCAUUCCGAGAGGCUACUUUCCCUCCACACUUGAGACGCUUACCAUUUGGAACUGCGAGCAAUUGGAGUCGAUUCCAGGGAAUCUGCUGGAAAAUCUCACAUCUCUUCGACUUCUGACCAUAUGUAAUUGUCCAGAUGUGGUGUCCUCUCCAGAAGCGUUUUUGAACCCCAACCUUAAACAACUUCUUAUUUCAGAUUAUGGGAAUAUGAGGUGGCCUCUAUCUGGGUGGGGCCUCCGCACACUCACCUCACUUGAUGAGCUCGGGAUUCAUGGCCCAUUCCCAGAUCUGCUUUCUUUUUCCGGCUCUCACCUACUUCUUCCUACAUCUCUCACCUCUCUCGGGUUGGUAAAUCUCCACAACUUGAAAUCCGUAACCUCCAUGGGUCUCCGAAGCCUUAUGUCUCUUAAAAGUCUUGAAUUCUACAGUUGCCCUAAGCUCCGGUCUUUUGUGCCAAAGGAAGGGCUACCACCAACACUUGCAAGACUUGUAAUCCGGGAGUGUCCUAUUCUAAAAAAGAGGUGCCUCAAGGGCAAAGGAAAUGAUUGGCCCAAGAUUGGCCACAUCCCCUAUGUGGAAAUAGAUGAGAUUGUACAACAAUAACAGCUUCAAUCAGGGGCUGCCGUGGUCGACAAUAAGUUGUGGAGUUUUGUGCUCAAAACCUCGACUCUCAUGAAUGUGCCCUUAGCUUUUUCCUUAUUUUUCCAAAGGAAGGUCCCUGCCCUCUUCCAAAACAGAGGUCCAAAAGAAAUUUUAAGGCCCUAUCAAAUGUGGCACCAACUUCACUUCCUACCAAGGGAUGGGCAGCUUGGCAAACUUGCAGAACCUAACCCACAACAAGAGGCCUUAUAUCUGGUGCUUCAUUUUGCUUAAAGCCAGUAUUCUAUUUCAAUUACCAUUAAUUAAUAGAAGGAAUUCUCCCUUACUAAACACCAAGGUUUUCUGGGAUUCUGCCAUCAGCUUGGAAAUAUGUAUUGCAAAAUGGGGGAGAGACCCUUACUACUGGCAACUGGUAUGUCAAGCAGUUCAGGAUGCAGAGAAAGGGCAUAUAUCCCAGGGUUAUUCUUCAGGUGUUGAAGAUGUGGAUGAGGUUCAUACACCAGAUUCUGACUAUAUUAAAUAAGCUAAAUCUUGGCAAGCAUAGGGGGCCACAAAUUAGCAUUUCACAAAUGCAUUGAUGAAGUUACAGAGAGCUGGUAUAAUAGGGGAGUUUCUAAGUAUUUUUGUAAAUGAGUUGGUGGUCUUAAUAGGGGUUCAAAGAUGUCUCUUAUUGGCUUUCUAGAAGGUGAGCUACCCACAUUGACCCACCACCAACACUUGCAAGAGUUGUAAUGGGGAGAUGUCAUAUUCUAAAAGAGAGGUGCCUCAAAGACAAAGGAAAAUAUUAGCCUAAGAUUGCUCACAUCCCCUAUAUGGAAAUAGAUGACAUUAUAAAACUACAAGAAGUUCAACCAGGUACUCCCAAUAUAUGGAAAUAGUUGUGCCCUUGAGUACCUGAAAAUUAAAGAUUGUCCAUCUCUUAUUGGCUUUCCGAAAGGGGAGCUACCCGCCACCCUUAAGAAGCUGAUAAUUAUAAAUUGUGAGAAGCUAGAGUCUCUACCUGAGGGAAUUGACAACAACACUUGUCAUCUUGAAUAUCUACAUGUAUGGGGAUGUCCAUCUCUCAAGUCCAUUCCAAGAGGUUACUUUCCCUCAACACUUGAGACCCUUUCCAUUUGGGACUGCCAGCAAUUGGAGUCGAUUCCAGGGAAUAUGCAGCAAAAUCUCACAUCUCUUCAAGUUUUGCAAAUAUGUAAUUGUCGAGAUGUGUUGUCCUCUCCAGAAGCGUUUUUGAACCCUAACCUUGAAGAACUUUGUAUUUCAGAUUGUGAGAAUAUGAGGUGGCCUCUAUCUGGGUGGGGCCUCCACACACUCACCUCUCUUGAUAAGCUCAUGAUUCAAGGCCCAUUCCCAGAUCUGCUUUCUUUUCCCAGCUCUCACCUUCUUCUUCCUACAUCUAUCACAUGUCUCCGGUUGGUAAAUCUCUACAACUUGAAAUCCAUAGCCUCCAUAAGUCUCCGAAGCCUCAUCUCUCUUAAAAUCCUUGAACUCUAGAAUUGCCCUAAGCUCUGGUCCUUUGUGCCCAAGGGUGAGCAACACUUGCAAUACUUGAAAUCUGGGAGUGUCCUAUUCUAGAAAAGAGGUGUCUCAAGGACAAACGGAAAGAUUGGCCCAAGAUUGGCCACAUCCCCUACGUUCAAAUAAAUGACAUUGUACAACAAUAACAGCUUCAAUAAGGGGUUCUCCUAAUUUUUCAGAAGUUAGGCCUUCCUACCACAAUUUAAUAUUGAUAUUUGGCAUUGCCCUCUUCCAAAACAAAGAAUUUCCUGCCAUUCAUAUCUGCAAGGGUAAAUACUAAAUAUCCUACACAUGAAAGAAGAUGUACUAAAUGCCCCAUUCUUUUCUAGUUUCUGGAUUUACAUGUGAUUCAAGUUUUAAGGCCCUAUCAAAUUUGGGCAACAACUUCACUUCCCACCAAGGGAUGGGCAAAAGGCCUUAUGUUUGGUGGUUCUUUUUGUUUAAAGCUCAGUAUAUUGAUUCAAUCACCAUUAAUUGUUAAAAGGAAUGCUCCUUUAUUUAACACCUUGGUUUUUUGGGAUUCUGCCAUCUUUUUGCAAAUAUGUAUUGCAAAAACGGGAGAGUUACUGUUGACCUAGAGAGGACCUUUCUACUAGCAUCUGGUAUGUCAAGCUGUUCAGGAUGCACAGAAAGGACAUAUAUCCCAGAUACUUGUUACAGAGGGGGUUGUGCUUAGCCAGUGUGUGACUCUGGAAACCCCACGUAAAAUGUAUGGCAACAACUGAGUCCUAUCAAUACUUGCAACAUUACAUAAUCAAGAGAGAUGUCCUAUUCUGAAAAGGAGGUCCAUGAAGAACAAAGGAAUAGGAUGGCCCUAAACUGCUCAUAUCCUCCCAUAUCUGGAGAUAGAUUGCAUUGUACAGCAGUAAAAAGGUCAAUCAAGUACCCCAAUUAAUGAUAGUCGCUCUUUUCUCUUGUUGCUCACAUCCAUCCUUCUAUCUGAUUGGAAAUUUAGUUCUCUAAUUCAUCAGUUAUGUGCAACAAUUUAUAUUUGCAUUAAAAAAAUUUCUGAAUAUAUAUUCAAAAUGAAAUGCUCUUGAUCUUAUUUUUUUGCCUUUUACAUUGAAAACAUAUAACUCUUUUUCAUUAUUAUGCUAACAGAAAGGAAUAUUGAGUUUCAUCCUGCAGAUUCCAUGUCUGAAGUGAAUAUGGUGUUGGUUGUUCAUUCUCUAAUAUGGUGAUGGUGAAAAGAAGAUGAAAGGGCCUAGGAAAAGCAUGUCAAAAAGAGUUGGAAAAACAACCUGCUUAUGAUUACAUUCGUUGGUCUACCUAUAGAUCUUGGGUUGGAUAUGGUGCAGAGGAAGAUUUUUACAAACAAACCUAUUUAAGGUAUUUGGGACUAUCCUCUUCCAAACACAGAUGCAGGAUGGCAAUCAAAGGGACUGAUGUAGAUGAAAGCAAAAUUCAUGGCCAUUGAUGCAGCUUAUUAGCAUCUGCAAAGGGGCCUUACAUCUGGUGGUUCAUUUUGCUUAAAGCCAGAAUACUAUUUCCAUCACCAUUAAUAAAUACAAGGCAUGCUCCCUAAUUUAUUCUUCCCUUUGCUUGGAAAUAUGUACUACAAAAAAGCAAGAGGCAAUUGAGCUGGUACAUCACAAACUGAAUUGAUAGGACAAUGAUAGUGACAAUAUUCUUAGCAAGUUCGGGUCAUGUAUUACAUAUAAGGUGGUCUUAACAAAGGAGCUCAAUGAGUUAGAACUACAGCCUCACUGUCCCAAAGUGAAACGGUCAAAGCUUGUAAUAAGCUCCAGCUAAGGAAGCUCCUACAACCAGGUCAUAUUCCUAAUUGACUCUGUUUUUGAGAAAUCAGGAUACUUUGGGUGGAUUUUCCUUCACAUGAAUAAUUGGAUUCAUCUUCUAAAGUACUCUUGGGAGUGAGGAAUCCUUCUCAAAAGCCUUGGAAUCGAGCACAAAUUUGAAAUUUUAAUCUGCAAUGAGGGUAUGGGCCUGGUUUCAUCCGAAGCUUCCUAUAGUUGACUAAUUCAUGAAUUUGAAAAUUGUGGAGGAUAGAAGAACAAGCACAUGUCUUCUGCAAGCAUUUCAAAACUUGUGCAUCAAUGCAUCAAUGGUUGUUGCUAGUGCUCAUGGAGAUUCAAAUAUGUGAAAUGGUAAUUGUGAGAUUGAAAUCCUGACCAUGAGACUAGCAGACGAGUCUUGGUGAACUUGAGAGUUUUGCCAUUCUCUUUCCUUGUGGAUCAUUCUCAAUACAAGUUGUUCUCCCAUUAUGUUUUAACAGUAUGUAAUACUCUAAAUGGUAAAUUAUGCCUCAGUUGAUCA